rnacentral:rRNA from 1 species
CACGUAUUUAGCCGGAGCUUCUUAGUCAGGUACCGUCAUUUUCUUUCCUGCUGAUAGAGCUUUACAUACCGAAAUACUUCUUCGCUCACGCGGCGUCGCUGCAUCAGGGUUUCCCCCAUUGUGCAAUAUUCCCCACUGCUGCCUCCCGUAGGAGUCUGGGCCGUGUCUCAGUCCCAAUGUGGCCGUCUACCCUCUCAGGCCGGCUACUGAUCGUUGCCUUGGUGGGCCGUUACCCCGCCAACCAGCUAAUCAGACGCGGGCCCAUCCCGCACCACCGGAGUUUUUCACACCGCUUCAUGCGAAGCUGUGCGCUUAUGCGGUAUUAGCAGCCGUUUCCAGCUGUUGUCCCCCAGUGCGGGGCAGGUUGCCCACGCGUUACUCACCCGUCCGCCACUCAGUCGCAAGCCUCUCCUUCCCGAAGGAAUUCAAAGCAGGCGCUUCGUUCGACUUGCAUGUGUUAAGCACGCCGCCAGCGUUCAUCCUGAGCCAGGAUCAAA